CCGCGUCUGGCGAGGUGCGCGCCUCGCGGCUCCCGUUCCAGAGCUUCGUGGCCCGCCUAUGUCUGCAGAGCAGGGGCGGGGGCCCGGGGACGGGGGCCCGGGGCCACGGACUGGGAACUGAGAUCGAAGUCCUGGGACUGAGAUACUGCGGAAUCGUAGACAGUCGCCCGGUUCAGCUCAGACGGCGCUUCGGGGUGGGAGCAGAUAGAGAAGGUGAAGGACCACUGCGGAUCCGACAGCGCGUCCCAGCACCUUGGACUUACUCCCUCCUGAACUGGGGAAAAUCUGAGGAAACCAAGCAGGGACCUUGGAGACGCCGCCUGCUUUCCCAACAGCCUGGAAAUCCAGUCACCUUGGUACCUCCUCGCCGCUUCCCAGACACUUCGGAGGGGCAGGAGCUGACAGCUGGCUGACAGAAAGCUCGCCCAGGGAGAGAGGAGACAAAAAUCAAGUGUGGAAUUAGGAAUAA